rnacentral:rRNA from 1 species
CCUACGGGAGGCAGCAGUGGGGAAUAUUGCACAAUGGGGGAAACCCUGAUGCAGCGACGCCGCGUGAGUGAAGAAGUAAUUCGUUAUGUAAAGCUCUAUCAGCAGGGAAGAAAAUGACGGUAUCUGAGUAAGAAGCCCCGGCGAACUACGUGCCAGCGGCGGCGGUAAUACGUAGGGGGAAAGCGUUUUCCGGAUUUACUGGGUGGAAAGGGAGCGUAGACGGCAGUGCAAGUCUGGAGUGAAAGGCGGGGGCUCAACCCCCGGACUGCUCUUGAAACUGUACGGCUGGAGUGCAGGAGAGGUAAGUGGAAUUCCUAGUGUAGCGGUGAAAUGCGUAGAUAUUAGGAGGAACACCAGUGGCGAAGGCGGCUUACUGGACUGUAACUGACGUUGAGGCUCGAAAGCGUGGGGAGCAAACAGGAUUAGAUACCCGUGUAGUC